GGUUGUGGCUCAGUGGUAGAGUGUUUGCCUGGCAUGCAUGAGGCACUGGGUUUGAUCCUGGGAACCA
rnacentral:tRNA from 1 species